CCAAAUGAAAAUCAUACGGUGGCUGUAUCUCUAUGGACUGGUAAUUAUGGUUUUGGUCCAACCUAGCUGGCAGAUUGUCCUCAAAGAUACGUCUGAUGAGUCUAGAUGGCAAUCUUAUGAAUCCAAAAGCGCCCAAAGUUUUAUGUCCAACAUUAAGCGACACUCCGAGGGCACCUUCACAAGCGAUUUUACUAGAUAUCUGGACAAGAUGAAGGCCAAGGACUUUGUGCAUUGGCUUAUCAACACGAAGCGAUACAGCUCUACAAAAAGGUACAUUAAAGAGGAUCCCAAUGACAUCACCUUCCCUUCUGAUUUCACUCCCUUUUAGGUACAAUUAGCCACCCAGAGCAAGAAAUCCAAUUUGUGGCAGUCUCUUCCCUUAGACAGCUACUGGAUCCACUCGCACCUGACAGCGACUGAAUAGUUUUAACGGAAGGAUCUCUCGGUGAAACUUAAUGGCGUCCGCUGUUCCUGGUCUCCAAGCUAUUGUAACUGCACGGUGACAUGCAAUAUCCAACACGCCUACCACUGACCAAGUCCAAGUUGGAAUGCAUUUAUUUGGAACCUUUGUUCCUAUGUUUUAGCUUUUCUUGUAGCUGCUUUUUGGGCACCAGACGCUUUUGAAAGUGUU